CAAUAAUCCUUGAAAGAUGCUGGGGAAUGGGAGAAAUAGAGAGAAGGUAGCUUGAAACCAUUCAGGCCAGUGGGCUUGAUUUCCAUUCAGUACCAGAAUACAGAACUUGUCUAUAAAAUCGUGCAUCUACUGAGCAUUUCCCAGGGAAAUAGUGAUUACCGAUACCAAUGGAUCCCAUCAGAUUGGGAAGUUACUUAAGACACAGAGAGUUCAAGGCAUACCAUUACUCAGUAUCUGAGGCACAAUUUUCAUAAUCUCCCUAUUUUCAAGGUCUCCUGAAUUCCACAUCCAGCUCUCUGCCCACCAGUUGAGAAAAAAAGAAAGGAAGAAAGAAGAAAAAGAAAAAGGAAGGCAAGAAAGAAAAAAGAAUGAAAGAAGGAAGGGAAGAAAGAAACAAAGAAAAAAGGAAGGAAAGAAAAGGAAGGAAGGUCUGUCUGAAAUCUGAAUAGUUCACUGGCAAUUUAAGAGGCCAGAAAGGAAAUAAACUUGCCUCUAGGGCUCA
rnacentral:lncRNA from 1 species